GAUGAAGAACGAGCGAAAUGCGAUAAGUAAUGUGAAUUGCAGAAUUCAGUGAAUCAUCGAAUCUUUGAACGCACAUUGCGCCCGCCAGUAUUCUGGCGGGCAUGCCUGUCUGAGCGUCAUUUCAACCCUCAUGCCCCUAGGGCGUGGUGUUGGGGAUCGGCCAAAGCCCGCGAGGGACGGCCGGCCCCUAAAUCUAGUGGCGGACCCGUCGUGGCCUCCUCUGCGAAGUAGUGAUAUUCCGCAUCGGAGAGCGACGAGCCCCUGCCGUUAAACCCCCAACUUUCCAAGGUUGACCUCAGAUCAGGUAGGAAUACCCGCUGAACUUAAGCAUAUCAAUAAGCGGAGGA
rnacentral:misc_RNA from 1 species